rnacentral:tRNA from 1 species
GGAGAGGUGCCGGAGCGGCUGAACGGGCACGACUGGAAAUCGUGUGUGGGCUACAACCCACCGAGGGUUCGAAUCCCUCUCUCUCCG